UUUACCUCUUCUCUCUCUUAAAGCCCCACUAAAAUGACGAAAGGAAUGAAAAGGGCAUAAACUCAUAUGGAUAAAGAGAUCUGGAGUAAGGACCAUAGGAGACGCGAGAUGUCAACAUUUUGGAAACUGGAUUGUGUAGACCCAGAAGUCUUUCCUGGGAAUUUGAGGUACAAUGCCAGGGAAAAUGGGCCUCUUAUGGCUACAUGAGGGCUGCCCCAGACCCCUUCUAUGGCCCCUCCUGCUGCUCCUCCAGGAAAAGAUUUUUCGAGUUGGCUCAGGCAGAAUUCUCCUCUGGGCAAUGAAGACAAGGUGCUUCCCACUGAACUUUUUCUCCAAUUCAUGUACUAGCUGGACUUCC